rnacentral:rRNA from 1 species
GAUGAACGCUGGCGGCGUGCCUAAUACAUGCAAGUCGAGCGAACAGACGAGGAGCUUGCUCCUCUGACGUUAGCGGCGGACGGGUGAGUAACACGUGGAUAACCUACCUAUAAGACUGGGAUAACUUCGGGAAACCGGAGCUAAUACCGGAUAAUAUAUUGAACCGCAUGGUUCAAUAGUGAAAGACGGUUUUGCUGUCACUUAUAGAUGGAUCCGCGCCGCAUUAGCUAGUUGGUAAGGUAACGGCUUACCAAGGCAACGAUGCGUAGCCGACCUGAGAGGGGGGUCGGCAGGAGUGGAAGUGAGACAGGGAACGGACGACUAAGGGAGGGACCAGAAUGCUAUGGGAGGCAAUGGUGGAGAGUAUGACAGAAUAGUGGGGAGCGAGAUACAAAGGCGUAGGGAGCGGAAUAACCGGUUACGAGUUAUGAACAAAUGUCGAAGGAGACGAACCGGGAGUGACGGUAAUUAAUAAGGAAGCAACGGCUAACUACGUG